CGCUGGCGGCAGGCCUAACACAUGCAAGUCGAACGGCAGCACAGUAAGAGCUUGCUCUUAUGGGUGGCGAGUGGCGGACGGGUGAGGAAUACAUCGGAAUCUACUCUUUCGUGGGGGAUAACGUAGGGAAACUUACGCUAAUACCGCAUACGACCUACGGGUGAAAGCGGAGGACCUUCGGGCUUCGCGCGAUUGAAUGAGCCGAUGUCGGAUUAGCUAGUUGGCGGGGUAAAGGCCCACCAAGGCGACGAUCCGUAGCUGGUCUGAGAGGAUGAUCAGCCACACUGGAACUGAGACACGGUCCAGACUCCUACGGGAGGCAGCAGUGGGGAAUAUUGGACAAUGGGCGCAAGCCUGAUCCAGCCAUGCCGCGUGGGUGAAGAAGGCCUUCGGGUUGUAAAGCCCUUUUGUUGGGAAAGAAAAGCAGUCGGUUAAUACCCGAUUGUUCUGACGGUACCCAAAGAAUAAGCACCGGCUAACUUCGUGCCAGCAGCCGCGGUAAUACGAAGGGUGCAAGCGUUACUCGGAAUUACUGGGCGUAAAGCGUGCGUAGGUGGUGGUUUAAGUCUGUUGUGAAAGCCCUGGGCUCAACCUGGGAAUUGCAGUGGAUACUGGGUCACUAGAGUGUGGUAGAGGGUAGCGGAAUUCCCGGUGUAGCAGUGAAAUGCGUAGAGAUCGGGAGGAACAUCC
rnacentral:rRNA from 1 species